rnacentral:rRNA from 1 species
UACGGAGGAUCCGAGCGUUAUCCGGAUUUAUUGGGUUUAAAGGGUGCGCAGGCGGGAGAUUAAGUCGGCGGUGAAAUUUUGCAGCUCAACUGUAAAAGUGCCUUCGAAACUGGUUUCCUUGAGUGUGGAUGAAGUAGGCGGAAUUUGUGGCGUAGCUGUGAAAUGCAUAGAUAUCACGAGGAACUCCGAUUGCGCAGGCAGCUUACUAAACCAUAACUGACGCUCAAGCACGAAGGCGUGGGGAUCAAACAGGAUUAGAUACCCCU